rnacentral:rRNA from 1 species
GCGUGAGUGAAGAAGGCCUUAGGGUUGUAAUACUCUUUCGCCGGUGAAGAUAAUGACGGUAGCCGGAGAAGAAGCCCCGGCUAACUUCGUGCCAGCAGCCGCGGUAAUACGAAGGGGGCUAGCGUUGUUCGGAAUUACUGGGCGUAAAGCGCACGUAGGCGGAUUGGAUAGUUGGAGGUGAAAUCCCAGGGCUCAACCCUGGAACUGCCUACAAAACUUCCAGUCUGGAGGUCAGGAGAGGCGAGCGGAAUACCGAGUGUAGAGGUGAAAUUCGU